rnacentral:lncRNA from 7 species
UACAUAGGUUUUCUCCGGUGGGAUUUAUCGACUAUCAAUACAGAUGACGAUAUUGGAAGGCACAGACAAACUGCAGGAAUGAUGUUAUAGCUCCUGUCUGAAGAGAUGCAGUGCAACUGGGACUCAGACUAAAACAUCACUGAACAUGAGGCCUCCGAAAUCUCACGAAGUAUAAAACCAGAGUAACUGCCAAGUGCAUUCAGGAAUGAAAUAAAAUUAGUAAUGAAAUACUGCUUGAAAGAAAAGUCUCUGCAGAAGACUGCUUAGCGGCAGAAACUUAAGUGGGAAGUUAUUUUGAGAAACACAGCCCUUGCAAUGGAGCUUAUGGAUCAGUCUGUGUUGAGACUCCUGUAGGUAGGCACAAAGCUGAUUUAUUUCUAUCCAUACCUCUAUCAGGAAGUCUCGUGGGUUGCUUUAAGUACUUCCCUGUGGUCAGAAAUAUCUGGAAUUGUUGGCACUUGUAGCAUGAAAUUCUUCUAGGAUGUGCUCUGUCAGGUCAGUAGUAAGGAGAUGUAAACAUUUCUCAGUGUGACAACAUCUUUCGCUAUGGCUUUUCCUAGUUGGAGGCCCUCUCUGGUUCUAACAGUGUAAAGUCUAGAUAAUGGGGAUGCUUUUUUCUGUGUAAAAUAGUAUUUGUUUGAGAAGUCAGCCCUUCUUUGUCUAGCUCUGGCAAAAUGGAGGAUCCAGAAAGGAAAUAGCAGUACGCCUGGUCUCCCCCAGUAUAGGACCAGUCCUGGAUCCUCACACAGGCAACCCUUGUGCCUUCAGGAGUCAGAGAUGCUUACUGUAGGGACAUAAGUGGCUGUACAGCUUUAACUCUUUGAAUCCCUGUGGCUUUUCUCAGACUCUUCUGCAUUACUAAAUGCUCUGCUUUCUUAAUUAACAGCAAGCACAGCAAAAUGCUGCUCUGUAAAAUGAGGAAGCUUUUAAGUGUAUGAGAAGAAAAAAUUUGGUAGUUGGAGUUCAGGUAGUUUGUUUCUGUUUUAUUACUCCUUCAUUCCCAUUUGUCUGUGCAAUUGUUCGCUACUGACAGAUGGGCUUUAGCAAAGCCAUGUUUAAGACAGAUGAAGUUCACUGCUGUUGCUAUUUUUUCUGCUUUUUUUUUCUUUUUUGGGAAAAUAUUUGUUUAUCUAAGAGGAAGUUGUUUGGUCUCUUUGUCAGAGCUCAGGAGCUCUGUGUCACUUUGUAACCUCACUUGGGAAAUAUAAAACCGUCAU